CAGCACAUCACUGUUCCAGAUCACUGCCCCCAUCAGGACAAAGGCCUUGACACGAAGAGGACUGACAGUCUGGGAUGCUACCUACUGCAGCAGCUGUAUUAUUAACAAAGACAAUCAUGUAAGAAAAGGCAUUUCCACAGAAGCAUGUUGGAUUUGAUCCUGCUCUCACUAUUUGACAUGAGUCACAGUACUGCUUUCUCCAGUGAAAGUAAGCCUGUGAAAUUAUCAUCUUUGAAGGUAUGACUUCCAUGGUAUUGUAAACACCAGCAGACCCAUAGGCAGUGUAAAAGCUCUGGAGAAGAUCAUUGAUCCUAUUAGCUUAGCUGCCUUAUCUGAGUUUCUGAGAGACCACUAAGCACAGAAGACCCACACUGAUCAACAUGGAGGUUUGCUUUGGUCCUGUUUAUUCUCAACCCAACACAGGCACUCUGAAUGCUA